rnacentral:misc_RNA from 1 species
UCCCUGUUGCCAGGGCAGUCUGUUUAGAGAAAUACAACUAAACAUAAGGGUUGCGCUCGUUGAUGGACUUAACCAAACAUCUCACGACACGAGCUGACAACGGCCAUGCAACACCUGUCUCCGAGCUCAAUAAAGCACUCUCUCCUUUCGGAGAAAUUCUCGGGAUGUCAAGCCUGGGUAAGGUUCUUCGUUUACCAUCGAAUUAAACAACACGCUCCACCGCUUGUGCAGGUCCCCGUCAAUUCCUUUAUGUUUUAGUCUUGCGACCGUACUCCACAGGCGGGAUGCUUAACGCGUUAGCUUCGCUACUAGGGGGGUCGAUACCUCUAACAGCUAGCAUCCAUAGUUUACGGCGUGGACUAC